rnacentral:rRNA from 1 species
GAUGAACGCUGGCGGCGUGCCUAAUACAUGCAAGUCGAGCGAACGGACGAGAAGCUUGCUUCUCUGAUGUUAGCGGCGGACGGGUGAGUAACACGUGGAUAACCUACCUAUAAGACUGGGAUAACUUCGGGAAACCGUAGCUAAUACCGGAUAAUAUUUUGAACCGCAUGGUUCAAAAGUGAAAGACGGUCUUGCUGUCACUUAUAGAUGGAUCCGCGCUGCAUUAGCUAGUUGGUAAGGUAACGGCUUACCAAGGCAACGAUGCAUAGCCGACCUGAGAGGGUGAUCGGCCACACUGGAACUGAGACACGGACCAGAGAACUACGGGAGGAAGCAGUAGGGAAUCUUCCGCAAUGGGCGAAAGCCUGACGGAGCAACGCAGCGUGAGUGAUGAAGGUCUUCGGAUCGUAAAACUCUGUUAUUAGGGAAGAACAUAUGUGUAAGAAACUGUGCACAGAUUGACGGUAACUAAUCAGAAAGCAACGGCUAACUACGUG